AUGGGCAUAGCUCAGUGGUAGAGCACAUGCUUAGCAUGCACAAGGUCCUGGAUUCAAUCCCUGGUAUCCUUA
rnacentral:tRNA from 1 species